rnacentral:lncRNA from 1 species
CUGUUCUGAUUCAUGAAUCAGAUUUGAAAUAUACUUGAAGCCUUUUCUUAAAAAUGGUCAUUCUUCUGACUUGAUCUGCAGACUUUAUUGAUUCCAAAUGGUUCACAAUGAGGCUGUGUUCUGUCAUCUUUUACAGCAAUUGUUCCUACUUUCAUGUAUCUGCCUGUGACUACAGGAGGCAGCGGCUUCCCCAGACCACUCACCUCCCUCCUUCACACCUGCCUGGCCCGAGUCCCACAGUGAUACCUGUCAUGGAACUACAUCUUGUAUUCAUGUGUUAAACAGAGCUCUGUAGUUGAUUCGCAAGAAAGUUUCAUUGUAAUAUGAUACCUGAAUUUUAUGUAAGAAUGUGAGAGUGG